rnacentral:lncRNA from 1 species
CUGUAGGUGAGGUUGCGGGCAAGCGGGAGGCGGCAGCGAACGCUCUGCAGGACGCGCGGCCGCUCCUGGCCGGGGAAACGGAAGGCAGGAUGUAGCUGAUGUGCUUAUUCUUUGCCCUUGGUGCAAACUUCUAGUGUGGAUGUAGAGUGCCAUCUUCACCUAAGAAGGUGAAACUGCCCCAUGUCAAUCAUUCAGGAGGUUGCACCGCGUCCUACAAGUGGAAUCCAGCCCGGGUGGCCUCAAGCCCCUCGAUCCCUCCCCGGGCAGCUCAUCGUCUACCUCGCAGCAGCCGGGCUGCGCCCGGAGCCCACUCACCCUUAGCCAAAGGCGGCGCGGCGCCUUCGAGUUCUGCGGCACCCCGGGGACAGACGCAAGGCCCCGAGAAACCUGGGUGUUGCAAGUCUCAGGUCAGACUCCGAGGCGUCCCGGUCUAAAGAGGCGCUUUGUCUUUCACCUAAUUCAACAGACCCUGGAUUUCCCUGAGGGCGCAAUCCCGUCGGCGGAUCGCAGCCCUUCCCCGCCUCACCGUGCUUUCCCUGCGCUUCAAUCCAACCGGUCCCCCGCCCGACCGGUGGCUAUCCUCCGUCACCUCGUCGUCGUGGGCCUCCCUCUUGGGCCCCAAGAGGGGCCGCGGGAAUCUACAGCACCUCUGACACAACUCGCCGCCCGGCCUUUGCCCAGGCGCCGCGCCACCCGGCACGCACCAUGACCCUGCCAUUCGCCCGCCACACCGACGAGCAGAAACGCCCUAACAUCUGCUGAGAAAAUCCCUUCCCACGGC